rnacentral:lncRNA from 1 species
CUGAAAAGGGCUACAAAACUGUGAGCAAAAAUAACACUGUAGAUGAACGGCAUCCUGAAAGAGAUCUCAAAAUUCAAGAAAUCAUGUUAUAAAUCGAAAGUGCAGAAUUUUGAGGAAGUAAACCCAACACUUACAACAGAAUAUGUCUAUCUGCAAAACAGAAAAUAAUAAAAUAAUUACUUAAAACAAACAUGAAAGAAAUAGCAUAAAGUGGAGCAAAUAACUAUGGCUACCCAGAAUCACUCUCUGCUUUGGAUCAAUUCAUGUUCAGUGCCACCAAACAAAUCUCUCUUGUUGAAAUUUAAUCGAAAAGGAAACACAACUUACUAUGAUCCAAAUCGCUUAUAAACUGAUUCCAGCAUAAAUUCAUCCAAAACCCCAGAGGAUUUACAUUAACAAAUCCGAUGAAACCCUUCUCAGUGCCACCGACAUUCAAAGAAAAUCAAUUCGUGUCAAUAAGAAAAAACCAUUGACACUUGAAGCUGAUCAUCUGUUAGACCAACAAACAAAAUCCAAAAUAGAUCCUUCUACAUUCAUCCCAACAAAGAAUCAUAAACAUGAAAUUAUAGAACAAAAGAGAACUUAGAAAACAUAAUUGCUGAAUUAACCAUACAUAAAAUCGAAAAGGGUAAUAAGAAAUUCACUCAACCUAGCCCAACCAAAAUCACAAAUUAAUUUCAAAAUUACAGAGAGAACUAUAACUAAAUUGUAGAAGAAAUGUCUCAAACUAAGAAGGACGAGCAGGUAAAUAGAAAAGAUCGAGAGAUCGAAGGAGCAUAAUUCAUCACACAAAAAAUUUAAAUCCCUCCUCUCUCUCUCUCUUCCUUCCUAACUAAUUUGAUACCAAACGCCUGCAAGCACAAGUAGAAUAAAAAAAACGUUUUUUACAUCACAACUUUAAAACAAAUGUAAAGAGCAAGGCAAGUUCAAAUCUGGUUGGUCCUAAUAACCUUCUUCCUUCCCCAUUUGAGUGGAAACAAUUUCUUUCUCUUGUCAAAAAGAAACCACAAACAUAACACAUUCACAGAAAAUUCACAUAAAGAAAUCCAAUGAAACCCUAAAUUCAAAAAAG